rnacentral:lncRNA from 1 species
ACGAGAUCUCGUAUAUAAUGUAAUAGAAGUCACUAACUUUGCAGAUACAUUAACCAGAAAUGACAUGCCUGUAAUUCUCAGAAGAUGCAUUAUUAUUUGCAACAUGCUGCUCGAUGCUUCAUGUGUUAGGCCUCUUGAUCUUCUGCCAUGCUGGAAUGUAAACACCACAGGAAUAGACAGAAUCACGAAUUAAGGAUUUGGAUGCCUUCCUUUAGAAGUAAUCUUCAAAGAAUGCACAUCCCAAACAUCACAGUGACUCAACAAGCAAGGGAACAGCCAGUGACUGUGUGAGCUUCAUGCCAACCAGAGAGAUAGCAGAGUCUUAAUUUGGUAGCAAAGUCUUAAUUUUAUCUUAAAA